CUGGAGCGGGCGGGCGUGGCCGGCGACGUCACGUGAGGGCGAGCGGCGUUACCAGGGAACGGGCCCCGGCAGGGGGUCGGACCUCGCUGCGCCUCAGCGGCCGGGGCGGACCUGGGCGGCCGAGCCCGCCUAGCGGGAGCCGCGCCGUCGGUCUCCUGCCCGUUGCCGGGCGUUCCUCCUGCUGACAUUCAGUGGAAUGGAGGUAAAUGUGCAUAUGACUCUGAACUUCAGCUUCUGGAUCUAAGGGAGGCCUUUCAUUCAUGCUGAUCGCCAGUUAUAAAAGAAACUGUUAUGGCUCAAGCUUGGCGGGCUUCAGAAAAAUUCCAGGACUUCAAAUGCAUUCAAUUAAUAUGCUGAAUAUUGACUCACUGCUUGCUCACAUGACCAACAUUUAAAUGACACUUCCUCAGUUUUUGAAGCAUAAUAUAAAUAAUGGUUUCAUCCUCACAGCCUGAUGAAGUCAGUUGGCAUCAUUUUCCCCUACUAAUGGAAGAAAUUUUUGUACGAAAAAGUAAUAUCUUUUAUUAGAUGUCAUUAUUGCUUUCAGAUUUAUUUCAGGGAAGUGCUCCUGUAAAUUUGCACUGAGCUAACUAAUGAAAACAUACCAGAAGUAAUGGAGGAACUGAUUGUAAUCCCAGGUGACUAAGAAAAAAGAGAAUGCUUCACAGUUAAGUUACCUAUGCUCUAUAGUCCAGCUGUCCUCCUGAAGGAAGUUUGACGGGAAUUUGAAUUUACCAAUACGUAAGGGUAACACUUGGACACAGCAGCUCGACAUAACUGACAGUGAGGUGUACUGGUCCUAAAAUUAGUUUUUACAGUCUUGCCUUACAGCAUCUCUCCUGAGACUACUUAAAGGACAAGACCGUACAUUCCAGCUUGGUGGAGGAAUGGGUGCAUCUUUUUCUGGAAGUUAUUCAGCCUGGAAGUCCUGGUUUGCAAAUGUUUUUCAUGCAUUGUCACUUCAAGAAGAGCUGCAGGGAGAAGUACAGCAAACUUGUCUAACUGAGAAUGAGAAAAGCAGCAAAUGAGUCUUUCCUGAUGGGACACCAGGAGGUGCGAGGAGACAAGGCAAAGAAAGGAAUUGAAGUGGGGAGCAAAUAAUAUCCUCAAGAUCUGCCUUUGGAUAACUUGGAGUUUGUGCAUGUGUAGUUGCCAGUUUGAUAUGACACACAUUUACUUGUUAUUUGAUUGCAUUACUUCAUGGAAGGUAGUUACUUUCUACAGAAUACAUCAUAUGUGUAUCCUGAAGCAUGCCUGGACACAAGGAACCCUUAUGUUACAGAAAAGAGACAUAGUGGAACAGAAAACUACUGUUUUGCAGAAGCUGAAUACCCGCUGGUCUCCUGAAUACAAAAAUGAAGUUUCAUACUCUUUCCCUUGAAGGGAAGCAGCAUGACGUGUACGUGAAAAGAGUGGAACAGUAUGUUAAGGGAAACACGACUGAAAGGAGAGAACAGCUGACUCCGGGGCCUGAGCAGAUCUGCCCCCUCUGCCUCACUGUAUGGGUUUGUUUUCAGCUCUUCAACUUGAACUGUCUUGUGGGUCUCACAACACAUCUCCACAGCUCUGGACUGGAAAAUUAAACAAUUGCAAGGAGGUUGUUCAUUCUUCCUGAAAUAAGCUUCACAAGCUGUGGAAAAUGAAAGCUAAGGCUGAACUUUAAAACAAGCUGAAAGCACUAAGAUGCAGAAAUGCAGAGUGAAGUUAUUCAAUAGAAUCAGAUUUGGAACAGAGCCCUGAAAAAAACUAUGGUUAUGACUAAUCUGUUUUUAAUGUGUCUGGUUGUAGGUAAAAUAACUUCUUUUAAAGAUAAUUUCUCUCACUAUGUCGGUUACAGUUCUUUACUGUCAUUUUAGAGAAAUGACUUGUUGAUGUGUGAGUUCAGUAUCAGAUGAACUGCAAUGACAGAAUUAUUUCUGAUGCUGGAGUGGCCCUGCUGAGCUGCUGGCAAAGGGGUGAAACACUACAAACAGGAUAUUCAGUGUCAAGCUGCAGUGGCACCCUGAGGGACCCACCCAGAGGCAGGCACUUGAAUGCUCACUCUAUCUUUCAGCCAAGUUAGCUGAGAAAACUUGACGUAAUAGUAGACUGUAGAGCUCCAUUUGUGCAGGGACAAGCUCAUGCAGUGACAUUUUAGAAGUGAAACAAUCUGAAAUGGAAACUUCUGGUGUUCUUGUUACACUGAACAAGUCUGAGGCACCAUGCAGUUUUACAGGGUGGCCUUUGGGUGCCUUUAUUUUGUCCUCAAAUAGUCCCAGCCUUGCUUGCUGACCCCUUCUCAGCGAUCCCUCCGAUCCUGUGAUGCAGAGCCGCUGAAGUUAAUACACUGCUGUAGAGAGGGGAGAUGUGGUACGACACUAUGCGUUUGAGUGUCAUGGCUGUUGUGAUACCAACCCAAGAUUUACAGACUUUGCAGUCUUAUUAUAAUCAGUAGACCUGUGAAUAGGAGUAUGAAUUCUAUGCAAACAGCGAGAGUGGAGGGGAACAGCAUGAAGACUCCUUUUAGGCAGGUAGGAAACAGUACAGUAAAUGCAGCACUGAUGGGAUAUGCUCAAUUUAUGGACUACAUAAGUCUAGCUAAAGGCAGUGCAGCGUGGCAACAGUGAAUGUAGUAACAUGCAAUACUCUGAGGGUGAAGGCUGUUUUCUGUAGCGCGUGUAUCUGAUAUCCAGGAACAAAAGCAGUUGGCGUUUCCCUGGUGUAGGCUGAAAUAUGGUGCAAUGUGAUAGAGCAACAGGGAACUCCUUGCUGGCUUUUUGCCCUGUGCAGAUUCCUUUUGAAUUAGGUUUUGACCUUUAAAGUAAGACCUGUUUCUUUAGUUUCUCAUUGUCUAAAUUCUGCAUUGAAGCUUGGGAAACAAGUCUGUGAAGCUGGAGGAUUUUUUUAAGCUCUAAUUAGUGAAACACAGAGUAGGUAGGAAGGAGUCUCCUGAGGGUGCCUUUUAUUUUUUAUUUUUCUCUGUUCCAUGGCAACACAGGCUGGGCUUAAAUCAGCACAAAACCCUGGUUCAUAUUAAAGCCUGGUCCACAACUCUUCUCCUGCUCUUAAAAGGCAUCUCUACUUCCUGAUCAAAAAACCACCUUGUUUGCCCUCAGUGAUGUGAAACCUGAAAUCAUGUUCCUGCUGCCAGGAUUUUGUAUUAGAGCACUGCAGUUCGUUGGUACCAGCAGCCCCGUGCAGGAAUUUGUAGGUGGAAGAGGUGAAAACCACCAUCCUGACUAAAAAUCUGGGGAUAUUUAGGCAGAGGGGUUGUGGUGGAAGAACGUCUUUCCCUUUUUGAAUUUCUUUAACAUUACCAUUGCUUCAGUUGUUUUUGCACAGGAUCUCUCAAUUUCUGAUUUGGGCAGAUUCUGUCAGUUCAUGCAGAUUAUUAAAUGCAGACUGAAGGGAAGCUGAAACUGAAACUCAACUCUGGGUGGGAGGCAGCAGCCGUUCUGUGCCAGAGGAAGGCCUCGGUGCUGUGCUUAGGGAUCUGCAGGUGGGACUACAGGGGAGGUGGAAGCAUGUGAUUAUUUUUGGUUCAUACACAAGGCUUAAGUUUUCAGAAAUACCAGGAGGUUCUUCAAGGUUGUGAGAGCUUAAAGCCUUGGAUUUCUCCUGCUUCAUCUGCCUGCUGGCGUGCACAGCCAUGUUGUCCCUUUCACAACGCAUUUGAUCUGUCAGGGGCUCUUUGAAGGCUCUCUAUCUCCACCAGCAAAGUGCUUCAGGGCUGAAUCGCACCCAUGUAUCAGCUCUUUUACUGUAUCCUGUUAUCAGCUAUGCCUUUCACUCCUAGAGUGUUCGCAGCCUUUGAUCUGUUACCAUAUUGCAGCAACAACUUCCCUUAUUUUUUAAUGCUGCAUUACAUUGUGCAAGGCUGCCAUCAGUCCACAAAUGCUGCAGUCUCUGUUGUCUGUGCACCGCGCUCACAAGUGCAUCCAUACUUCUUACCUAAAGCAUGACAUACUCUUGUUCCCCUCAACCCUCAAUCAAUCAUAGUGGAAAUCACUUUACUACAAGAUGACAAUUUCCAUUGGACCCUACAUGGAGAUAUAAUUAAAUAGUUAAUUAUUUCCUUCCUUUUCCCUGUUGCAUUUGUCUGGCUGCUGCUUUUAAAAAACUUGGGCAGGGACAGUUUACUCCAUUUGUGCAGCAGCUGGUGCUGUGGGCUCUGACUGGUAGGUAAAUCCUAAUGUUACUGACCAAGUGAUGAAUCCUGCACUGCAGCAGAAAGUGCCGUUUUGCUGGCCAGGCUGGAUCUUGUUUAAUUUGAGGUUGAUCCUGUCAAAGCUAGAGACCUCUGGAAAGAAAGGUGCUCUGUGUGUGGCAGGACUGAAGGCACUUUCUCUGUUUUACAUUUUUUUUAUGCUGACAAAUGGGUAAAAGCAGAGACAACACAAUAAUUUAAAACUUCUUUGCUUAAAAUCAGCCAAAUUCCUAGUAGUGUUAGAAGCAAGACCAGUAGCAGCAUUUGAGCCAGUUCUGCUGGAGAUGGUGCUUAUCAGAUGACCUAGCAAAACCUUCCUGACUUGUACGAUUUGGGGCAGAAGUUCCAGCGUAACACACAUGCCAUCUCACAGCCUACAGAGCAGUCAAUUCCGGCUGUCGUGGUGCAGAUCAGUGAUGCAACUCGUUUCAUCACUACCCUCAAGGGUGGGGCUUGGCUGGGCUACUGGGUGGAGGACGUUUGCUGUGCUAGGUCAUGCAGUACAGGGAAGGCUGUGGCUACUUAGGUGUUUGUCUCCUAACGGGGUCCAGCCAAGUGGCACAGCCUGUAUCUGCAACACAUCCCUAACACUGGGACUCCUCACCACAGUGUGCUGAUCCUAAUGUGAUUUAAUAGUGAUGAACCACUUUCCUUCCACUGGCCAGGUUGGGCUUGUUUUAUUUAUGCCUUAAAACCUCUCCUCUCUCCUGCACUGUGAUCUGUGCAAAACUGUUUGGCAAGGUAAAAGCUCUGCCUGGUGUGUGGGCAGGAGAAGGGCCACAGCCUGGUGUGGAAAACAUGUGAGAUGUGGUCCAGGCUUGUGGGGAGAAUGAGGUGGGGACCAGAGAUGCGAGUCGUGUGCUCAGUUCAUAUGACUUGCCCAGCCUGUUUCACAGAUUCAUAACUACUGAUCCCUGACUAUGUUUCAGGCUUGGCCUACAGUCAGGUUUUAAUUGUCCCUAUUAGUAUGAUGGAUGCUGGAAUAAGGACAUGUUGGAGAAAGGUGGUAGUGUUUUCACUGCUGCUGUUGUUGUUGCUGGGACUGCCAUUAAAGCUGCUUACUGGUGUUUGCCCUCCUGUGAAAUGUGUAGGUGAGCUAUUUAUAAAUGUGCAGAGACAUCCCACAUCUCUAGCUUGUCCUCUGAUUUAAGGCUAAUCCCCACCAGGAGGGGAGAAUCUGGCCAGGACUGCAAAGGAGGUUAGUGGCAGAGUUGAAAAUAAUCCACUUCUGAGCCUCAGCAUUGUCUCUACGAUGGGGUGGAUUUAUGGGGGCGGGAGCAGGAGUGGAGAAGCAGCAUACUAUUUCACUGUUAGCUCUGCCUUUUACAGCAUGGUCUCCCAUCUUCAGGAUGAAGAGAGGCACUUUUCCUCCUGCACAGCCCCUUCUCCUGUCUUCCACUCCCUCUACAGAGCAGAUGCACACAGCUCUGUCCUGGGCUGCAUUCAGCCUCAGUCUUUGCUUGCUUUUGCUCUUCCUGUCUGGAGCAGAUUCAGCCUGGUGUGCAGGGGCAAUGUCUCUUUUCCUGGAGCAGUCCAGACCCAGGCACACGGGAGUUAGUCUCUGUACUUCUCAAAUAUUCUUCUGCAAGUAAAUACAGCAACUUGCUUUCAUUAUUCCUCUCCUGAAUGGUGCAAAUUACCCCACUCUUCAAAGCAUGCAGUUCAUUGAACAGCAAGCUUAAUAUAGCUGGAUUUCUAGCGUAUCUGAUUGUCUUUUACAUUUCCAUAUGUGGGUUUGCUGAUGACUAAUAAAGAGGCUAGCUUCUCAGCCCGUCCUCAGUGGGAACAUGAUUCUUCUGCCUGACUCCCAGUUUUUAUGAAGCUUUGAGGCAUGCACCUCAAUGUCCAGCUUGGUUAGGGCUGACCAAAGGACUCACGUAGGAUUAGACAGACACAGGUGCACCCCAAAUGGAUAGCAUGAGCCUAAUUGCCAUAAGAAAGAAGGCUGAUGCUAUGUGAUUGCACUGAGGAAAUGAGACUCUUGCUUCUUUCCUUGAGAGUGCCUGGCAUGAUGGCUGUAUCUGCAGGACACACUGCCCUCUCUUGGUCCUAGGUGGGUUCUGGGUCUGGGCUGAGAAACCUGCCCUUCCUGACUGUCCGGGUGGCCAAGGGACGAUCGCUGGAGCCUGGUGGGAGAAUCAGAUAUGUGCUGUGAUUUAUAAACUCGGUCAGAGUUACCGACUUUGUCUGUGAUUCCACCAUCCCCUCCAGGACCUCCCAAAAGGGUUUAUGUGGAGCUUCAGCACUGAAUGAAAUCAACUGUGGGAAAAACAACUUAUGAGUGAUUUUAUCAUUGUAUACAAGAAAGCAAUGUAAGAAACUGCAGAAAUCUGCUAGCUUCAUUCUUGAACAUGUGGUGGAAGACUUUCAUCUGUUUUUUCUUGUAAAUGAGAGUUUUAGUAAAUGUUGGAAAAUCAUAAUUAUGACAUAAACAUUUCAGAAAAUUUAUGCUUCCAGUUGUAGUAAGUUGGAGCAAUCUGGUAACACAGACUUAUUUGAAAGAGACAUCUCUGACUUUAUGUCACCGGUGCCCUUUGGGGUUAUACUAGCUCAGAGCCUGUCCCUGGCUGCUGCCCGAGUGAUGUAGGGUAAAGCUGAGCA